CCUACGGGUGGCUGCAGUAGGGAAUAUUGCUCAAUGGGGGAAACCCUGAUGCAGCGACGCCGCGUGGGUGAUGAAGUUUUUCGGAUUGUAAACUCCUUUUAUUAGGGAAGAUAAUGACGGUAUCUAACGAAUAAGCACCGGCUAACUACGUGCCAGCAGCCGCGGUAAUACGGAGGGUGCAAGCGUUACUCGGAUUUACUGGGUGUAAAGAGCGCGUAGGCGGGAUAGCAAGUCAGAUGUGAAAUCCUAGGGCUUAACCAUAGGACUGCAUUUGAAACUGUUAUUCUAGAGUAUGGGAGAGGUAGGUGGAAUUCUUGGUGUAGGGGUAAAAUCCGUAGAGAUCAAGAGGAAUACUCAUUGCGAAGGCGACCUGCUAGAACAUAACUGACGCUGAUGCGCGAAAGCGUGGGGAGCAAACAGGAUUAGAUACCCCAGUAGUC
rnacentral:rRNA from 1 species